CAGCCGCCGCGGGAAAACGUAGGGUGCGAGCGUUAAUCGGAAUUACUGGGCGUAAAGCGUGCGCAGGCGGUUCGUUAAGACAGAUGUGAAAUCCCCGGGCUUAACCUGGGAACUGCAUUUGUGACUGGCGAGCUAGAGUAUGGCAGAGGGGGGUAGAAUUCCACGUGUAGCAGUGAAAUGCGUAGAGAUGUGGAGGAAUACCGAUGGCGAAGGCAGCCCCCUGGGCCAAUACUGACGCUCAUGCACGAAAGCGUGGGGAGCAAACAGGAUUAGAUACCCCCGUAGUCCCUGUCUCUUAUAA
rnacentral:rRNA from 1 species